GGGGAUGAUCGGUUUCGACAGCGGCUGUUGAAGCAGGGGAAGCGUGUCGAGGAAGCGGCAAUGAUCUCGUAAACCAUAUGUCGCAAAAAAUAAUCGCCAACACCAAGCGCGAUUCC
rnacentral:tmRNA from 1 species